rnacentral:rRNA from 1 species
UACAGAGGUCUCAAGCGUUGUUCGGAAUCACUGGGCGUAAAGGGUGUGUAGGCGGUGUGCUAAGUCAGAUGUGAAAGCCCGGGGCUCAACCUCGGAACUGCAUCCGAUACUGGCAUGCUAGAGAAUUGGAGAGGAGUCUAGAAUUCACGGUGUAGCAGUGAAAUGCGUAGAUAUCUGGAGGAACACCGGUGGCGAAGGCGGCAUCCUGGACCGAGAUUGACGCUGAGGCGCGAAAGCCAGGGGAGCAAACGGG